UGGGGUAUAGCUCAGUGGUAAAGUGGGUGCCUGGCAUGCAAGAGGUCCUGUGUUCAAUUCUUAGUGCCUCUG
rnacentral:tRNA from 1 species